rnacentral:rRNA from 1 species
CCGAUUAGAGUUUGAUCAUGGCUCAGGAUGAACGCUGGCGGUGUGGAUAAGGCAUGCAAGUCAAGGGGCCGCAAGGCACCGGCGAACGAGGUAGUAACACGUGGGUACGUCCCCCUAAGUCAGGAAUAACUAGUCGAAAGACUGGCUAAUACUUGAUAGUCUCUUCGGAGUAAAGAUUUAUCGCUUAGGGAACGGCCUGCGGAGUAUCAGCUAGUUGGUAGGGUAAUGGCCUACCAAGGCAAUGACGCUUAGGGGAGCUGAGAGGCUGACCCCCACCGAUGGUACUGAGACGCGGACCAUACACCUACGGGUGGCCGCAGUCGAGAAUCUUCCGCAAUGGACGAAAGUCUGACGGAGCGACGCCGCGUGAUGGAUGAAGUCCCUCUGGGACGUAAACAUCUUUUAUGAGGGAGAAAGUUUAUUGAUAGUACCUCAUGAAUAAGGGGUUGCUAAACUCGUGCCAGCC